rnacentral:rRNA from 1 species
UACGAAGGGGGCUAGCGUUGCUCGGAUUUACUGGGCGUAAAGGGCGCGUAGGCGGACAGUUAAGUCGGGGGUGAAAGCCCGGGGCUCAACCUCGGAAUUGCCUUCGAUACUGGCUGUCUUGAGUGUGAGAGAGGUGUGUGGAACUCCGAGUGUAGAGGUGAAAUUCGUAGAUAUUCGCAAGAACACCAGUGGCGAAGGCGGCUCACUGGCCCGAUACUGACGCUGAGGCACGAAAGCGUGGGGAGCAAACAGGG